rnacentral:rRNA from 1 species
AUACGGAGGGUGCAAGCGUUAAUCGGAAUUACUGGGCGUAAAGGGCGCGUAGGCGGUCUAUCAAGUCAGGUGUGAAAUCCCACGGCUCAACCGUGGAGGUGCAUCUGAAACUGAUAGACUUGAGUAUGGGAGAGGAAAGUGGAAUUCCCGGUGUAGAGGUGAAAUUCGUAGAUAUCGGGCGGAACACCAGUGGCGAAGGCGACUUUCUGGACCAAUACUGACGCUGAGGCGCGAAAGCGUGGGGAGCAAACAGGAUUAGAUACCCUAGUAGUCC